GCCCUUAGAGUUUGAUCCUGGCUCAGGACGAACGCUGGCGGCGUGCUUAACACAUGCAAGUCGAGCGAGAAAGCUACCUUCGGGUAGUGAGUAAAGCGGCGAACGGGUGAGUAACGCGUGGGUAUCUACCUUUAAGGCAGGGAUAACUUUCCGAAAGGAGAGCUAAUACUUGAUAAGCUCCGUUAGGAGCAAAGGCAGUUUUGCUGUCACUUAAAGAUGAGCCCGCGUCCCAUUAGCUAGCUGGUGAGAUAACAGCUCACCAGGGCAACGAUGGGUAGCCGGCCUGAGAGGGCGAUCGGCCACACUGGGACUGAGACACGGCCCAGACUCCUACGGGAGGCUGCAGUGGGGAAUCUUCCGCAAUGGGCGCAAGCCUGACGGAGCAACGCCGCGUGGGUGACGAAGGCCUUCGGGUCGUAAAGCCCUGUCUUCAGGGACGAACCACCGGGCUGUGAAAGCAGUCGGGCCUGACGGUACCUGAAGAGGAAGCCCCGGCUAAUUACGUGUCAGCAGCCGCGGUAACACGUAAGGCGCAAGCGUUGUCCGGAAUUACUGGUCGUAAAGGGUGCGCA
rnacentral:rRNA from 1 species